rnacentral:rRNA from 1 species
GACGAACGCUGGCGGCGUGCUUAACACAUGCAAGUCGAACGGAAAGGCCCUGCUUUUGUGGGGUGCUCGAGUGGCGAACGGGUGAGUAACACGUGAGUAACCUGCCCUUGACUUUGGGAUAACUUCAGGAAACUGGGGCUAAUACCGGAUAGGAGCUCCUGCUGCAUGGUGGGGGUUGGAAAGUUUCGGCGGUUGGGGAUGGACUCGCGGCUUAUCAGCUUGUUGGUGGGGUAGUGGCUUACCAAGGCUUUGACGGGUAGCCGGCCUGAGAGGGUGACCGGCCACAUUGGGACUGAGAUACGGCCCAGACUCCUACGGGAGGCAGCAGUGGGGAAUAUUGCACAAUGGGCGGAAGCCUGAUGCAGCAACGCCGCGUGCGGGAUGACGGCCUUUCGGGUUGUAAACCGCUUUUCGCCUGUGACGAAGCGUGAGUGACGGUAAUGGGUAAAGAAGCACCGGCUA